CUAGAGCAUAUGUGUCAAACUCAAGGCCCGCGGGCCACAUCCGGCCCGGCGUGUAAUUAUAUCCGGCCCGCGAGAUCAUUUUAUAUAUUAUUGUUAUUAAUGGCCCGGCGAUAUGAAGCGCUGGUAACACAAUAAACUGCAGAUCCCAUAAUGCAGCGCUUCAGCUGCCUUGCCGAACACUUCCCGUGUUAAUCAAGUCUAGCUUAUGAUGCUGCAAGUUAUUGCGAAGCUAGCCCUCAUGAUGCCGAAGAGAAAAGUUGAUUCUGAAAACAGAGCCUUUAAAAACCGAUGGGAGGCUGAGUAUAUGUUUACUGACAUUGCCGGUAAACCUGUGUGUCUCAUUUGUGGAGCUAAUGUGGCUGUAAUUAAAGAAUUUAAUCUAAGACGGCACUAUGAGACAAAACAUCAGGAUAACCUGAAAGACCUGAAUGCAAAGCAGAAGAAGCAGAAAGCAGAAGAGUUAAAGAAGAAUCUGACACUUCAGCAGACGUUUUUACCCGUGCAAAAUCACAAAGUGAAGCUGCUUGAAGCUGCUUUUAUGGGAGACACAAAUGCAGCAGUGCAACUUGCCCCACUUUCCCUGUUGCCAAGUAAUGUUGAACCAAGUCGGCACAACGGUGUUCCCAAAUACGCACUUUGCUGAUAAACUGAGCGCACUGAGUUCGCAUGGCGCUUUGGUGACUUUGAAGAACAAAAAAAGAAUUUUGAGUUGCUUCGCAUCCCAUUUGCCGUCGAUGUGGAAACUGCACCUGUGCAGAUUCAGAUGGAGCUGAUUGAGCUGCAGUGUAAUGGCACACUGAAGGCAAAGUACGA